rnacentral:lncRNA from 1 species
GCAGUAUUACUUGAUCUCGUAUUCUAUACUGGAUUUUGUUCAGCUAAUUCAGGGCAUUCACGAACAAAAUGAUCCAUCGAUCCAUAUUUAAAACAGGCUCGAUCAUGCAAUCUACAACUUCUAGGAUGUCAUUUACCGCAAUGUUUACACUCAAGUUGAUUAGAUCUAGCAUUACCAACAGUAACUACUAAGGUAGCUCUCGAGUUCACAGGUGGUCUAUCCCGAUCCCGU